rnacentral:rRNA from 1 species
AUUGAACGCUGGCGGCAGGCUUAACACAUGCAAGUCGAGCGGGGGAAGGUAGCUUGCUACCGGACCUAGCGGCGGACGGGUGAGUAAUGCUUAGGAAUCUGCCUAUUAGUUGGGGACAACACCCCGAAAGGGAUGCUAAUACCGCAUACGUCCUACGGGAGAAAGCAGGGGAUCUUCGGACCUUGCGCUAAUAGAUGAGCCUAAGUCGGAUUAGCUAGUUGGUGGGGUAAAGGCCUACCAAGGCGACGAUCUGUAGCGGGUCUGAGAGGAUGAUCCGCCACACUGGGAGUGGGACACGGCCCAGACUCCUACGGGAGGCAGCAGUGGGGAGUAUUGGACAAUGGGGGGAACCCUGAUCCAGCCAUGCCGCGUGUGUGAAGAAGGCCUUAUGGUUGUAAAGCACUUUAAGCGAGGAGGAGGCUACUCUAGUUAAUACCUAGGGAUAGUGGACGUUACUCGCAGAAUAAGCACCGGCUAACUCUGUGCCAGCAGCCGCCGUAA